rnacentral:tRNA from 1 species
GGGGACGUGGCGCAACUGGGAGCGCACCACCUUUGCAAGGUGGGGGUUGCGGGUUCGAGUCCCGUCGUCUCCA